GCCUUCCUGGCGAGCGUCGCAGGGCUCAGGGCUCCGGCAGGGUGCCUCGGCUACCCCGGAGCGUCCACGGAGGUGUCGGAGAUCCCGAGGGUCCGGGGGUUGGGGGGGCGUGAAGUGGCAGCAAGACAUGCAGUUACUGACCUCUUAUUAGCCAGACGACGCGUUAAUGACACGUUCCAAUGGAAGGUUCGACGCAUGGGGAGGUACAAUUCCCCUAAGCAAGGCAAGUGUCAUGCCAACUACGAUAAAAAACGAAAAAUACACAAAAAAAAAUACAAAAACAAAAAAAUCCAAAAAAAAUUGUCUUGUUUUGCUUUGUUUAAAGCGUCUUGUAUGUUGGUAUGGCGGGUCUUCUCUGGGGAGAAGGAGACUAACGCGUUCCAACAUACAAAACCAGGAAAAGACGACAUGGAAACACCGAUAGAAGGAAGGGAAAGAAGGGAACACCAGAAGAAGGAAAAUGAAGAGAAGUAACACUAGAAGAAGGCAUAUGAAGUAACACAAGAAGAAGGAAGUUGAAAAGAGUAACACAGAAGAAGGUAUUGAAAAGAGUAACACAGAAGAAGGUAUUGAAAAGAGUUACACAGAAGAAGGUAUUGAAAAGAGUUACACAGAAGAAGGUAUUGAAAAGAGUUACACAGAAGAAGGUAUUGAAAAGAGUUACACAGAAGAAGGUAUUGAAAAGAGUAACACAGAAGAAGGUAUUGAAAAGAGUAACACAGAAGAAGGUAUUGAAAAGAGUAACACAGAAGAAGGAAUUUGAAAAGAGUUACACAGAAGAAGGAAUUUGAAAAGAGUUACACAGAAGAAGGAAUUUGAAAAGAGUUACACAGAAGAAGGAAUUUGAAAAGAGU